AAUUGUCUUCUUCCCGGGAAAGAUUUUCCAUCCACAACCCCAUGAUUCUUCUUUCACUGAGCAAACAUGGCUUCUACUGGGUCAAUUGCAUCAGCAGCUCCAAUAGGUUUUGGAAUUGGAUCGGAAUGGGUUGAGAAGAAAGAAAACUUGUGUUUGGGUUGAAGAAUAUUGAUGUCUAAACAUUUGCUUCACUUCCCAUAAAUUGUCUUUCAUUUGGAAUGGGUUCAUGAGGAUCAGUAAUUGAUCAUUCAAGAGAACUAGGGCCAAGAGUGCUUAGCAAAGACGCGGAAGUAUUAUGCAAGCUAAGGCUGAAGCAGCUAAGGAUAUAACCAAUGUUUUAUCGUCUAAGAUUUUUGUGGAGAAUGGUCUGUGCCAUUGCCGAAGGUAGAACAUCAGCCCAAAUAAAGUCUAGCUUGGUUGUAGAUGCUAUGUCAUCGUGUUUAUGGAGCUGGUGCAGUGUGAAUUUUAGGACCUUCCUACUAGAACGACGAUUGGUUUGGGUAAAGAGAGAGGGGAUCUUUACUACUUGGAAUUGCAUGGGACAACACAAGAUGACAAUACAGGAGCUUACAAAUCAAUAAGUAUGUCUGAUUCUGAAGAACAAGUCCCGUUGUGGCAUAAACGUUUGGGACAUCUUUCUUUGGGUAUAUACAGAGAUUGUUCCCUGAGUUGUUUACGGAACUUGAUAUGUCUAAAAUUCGAAUUAUUAUUCGCAGCGCUUUCUAUGAUGCUGAUGAUUGGCAUAUCUACAUAUGGCUAUGAUGUAACGAAACUGUAAAUUCCGUAAGAACAGAAUAUAUACUCAACUGUGAUAGUACAAAGUACAGACAAUAUGACAAGAAACGUUGAGAAUACCAUCUAUGCAAAUUUUCUCAAUA